GCCUGGCUGGCUCAGUCAGUAGAGCAUGUGACUCUUAAUCUCAGCCCCACAUUGUAGCGUGAGUUCAAGCCCCACAUUGGGCA
rnacentral:tRNA from 1 species